rnacentral:rRNA from 1 species
UUGGCUGGCUGGGCGCAGCCUGAUGCAGCCAUGCCGCGUGUAUGAAGAAGGCCUUCGGGUUGUAAAGUACUUUCAGCGAGGAGGAAGGCGUUGUGGUUAAUAACCUUAAUGAUUGACGUUACUCGCAGAAGAAGCACCGGCUAACUCCGUGCCAGCAGCCGCGGUAAUACGGAGGGUGCAAGCGUUAAUCGGAAUUACUGGGCGUAAAGCGCACGCAGGCGGUCUGUCAAGUCGGAUGUGAAAUCCCCGGGCUCAACCUGGGAACUGCAUCCGAAACUGGCAGGCUAGAGUCUUGUAGAGGGGGGUAGAAUUCCAGGUGUAGCGGUGAAAUGCGUAGAGAUCUGGACGAACACCGGUGGCGAAGGCGUGCCCCUGGACAUAGACUGACUCUCAGGUGCGAAAGCGUGGGGAGUCAACAGAAUUUUAUACCCGCGUAGCC